rnacentral:rRNA from 1 species
AAAGGCAGACUAAUACCGCAUAGUCUUCGAUGACGGCAUCAGAUUUGAGUAAAGAUUUAUCGGUAAUGGAUGGGGAUGCGUCUGAUUAGCUUGUUGGCGGGGUAACGGCCCACCAAGGCGACGAUCAGUAGGGGUUCUGAGAGGAAGGUCCCCCACAUUGGAACUGAGACACGGUCCAAACUCCUACGGGAGGCAGCAGCA